GUCUGGUUGGCUAGCUUUAUUAUGUUGGUGGUAGGCGUCAGCACCUGCUCCACUGCAAGACUGCAAACCUAUCUCACUUUUAACACCACUAGAAGGUGUAGUACUAACACAACUUACUGAUGCAGGUGUUAAAAAAACCUCGUUUUGUUUCCCACUGUAUUCCCCACCUCUUUCUCCCAUUGGAAACUCGUUGAGGUCGUUAAUGAGUCUGACUUCCGGUGAGCUACCAGCCUCCGGUUUGAGCUUCAACGGAACAGCAAGAGGCUGCGAAGAUGAGCUCCCGCAGCAUUGGUCAUCAACAGAAACUGCGUUCUGGCCAUUUGCACUACUAUCAGCAAGGGGCAGAAACCAAGGGCAGG
rnacentral:lncRNA from 1 species